UACGUAGGUGGCAAGCGUUAUCCGGAUUUAUUGGGCGUAAAGGGAGCGCAGGCGGUCUUUUAAGUCUGAUGUGAAAGCCUUCGGCUUAACCGGAGUAGUGCAUUGGAAACUGGGAGACUUGAGUGCAGAAGAGGAGAGUGGAACUCCAUGUGUAGCGGUGAAAUGCGUAGAUAUAUGGAGGAACACCGGUGGCGAAAGCGGCUCUCUGGCCUGUAACUGACACUGAGGCUCGAAAGCGUGGGGAGCAAACAGG
rnacentral:rRNA from 1 species